rnacentral:rRNA from 1 species
AGAGAGAGACAUGCGCGCAUAUCAAUAAGCGGAGGAAAAGAAACUAACAAGGAUUCCCUUAGUAACGGCGAGUGAAGCGGGAAGAGCUCAAAUUUGAAAUCUUCAAGGCUUUACCUUGACGAAUUGUAGUUUAAAGAAGUGUUUUCUGCUGAAGUUUUGGUAAAAGUUCUUUGGAAUAGGACAUCAUAGAGGGUGAGAAUCCCGUAUUUGACCAUUAUUUUCAGCUUUGUGAUACACUUUCAAAGAGUCGGAUUGUUUGGGAAUGCAGUCCAAAAUGGGUGGUAAAUUUCAUCUAAAGCUAAAUAUUGGCGAGAGACCGAUAGCGAACAAGUACCGUGAGGGAAAGAUGAAAAGAACUUUGAAAAGAGAGUUAAACAGUACGUGAAAUUGUCAAAAGGGAAGCGUUUGACACCAGUGUUGUUUUCUCGAAAAUCAAUUAAAAAUGGCUCGAUUUUGUAUUGCUGAGACCUUAAAAGCUCACUGUACAUUUUUCGUGUCUUUUUUAAUGCACUUUUCGUUUAACAAGUCAACAUCAGUUUCUUUUGUUGUAAAAGGGUCAUUGGAAGGUGGCUUUCUUUUCGGAGAAAGUGUUUAUAGCCUUUGGCCUCUGCAAUCGGAAGAGACUGAGGUCUGCAGCGUAGACUCUUCGGGGUUAGAUACAUUUGUGCUAAGUUAUAGCUUUUUAUAGACAACUUGUUGACUAUAAUUAGUCUUGUAGCUUACUCGCUUAUGCUAUUUUACCUACGCUUAGGAUGUUGAAGAUGUAGCACAUCAU